AGAAGGUCUAUGACAAAAAUGAAGUCACAUUCAAUUUGAUACAUAUAUACAGUCCUAGCUAGUUGACCGAUGCAGAAAUAUGUGCUAUAACAGAAUUAUUUAAUAGGUUUUUAUCACUCUCCAUAUUUGGUUUAUAUAUAGAUCCUAAAUGGUGCGUGAAAUGUCAAUUAUCAAUAUAAGUACUUGGACUAGAUACUUUUUGUUAUUGAAUGUUCAAUAUACUGACUACUUUUUUUAUGUUUAUUUGGCUAUUAUAUCCGUUUUGAGCUCGUAUCCCAAACUGCUCAUAAUAUAAUUGACAGUACUAUCUUGAAAAGA